rnacentral:lncRNA from 1 species
UCCGAGCAAACUGUAUGGGAAGAGGGGCUGAAGAAGACCAUUGAAUGGUACACUCAGAAUCCCGAAUGGUGGGGCGAUGUGUCUGGUGCAUUGCUUCCUCACCCUAGAAUGCUGAUGAUGCCUGGUGGGAGACACUUCGAUUCUGAAGAGGGAAAAGGUACAUCAUUUGCAAGUGGACCUAAUCAGACCCGAAUGGUGGUUCCAACCUUCAAAACUAGUAGCAGCACGCAAAAACCAGCCUUGAAGUUCUUGAUCUAUGGCAGGACUGGCUGGAUUGGAGGUCUGCUUGGUCAGUUAUGUGAGAAACAAGGUAUUCCCUUUGAAUAUGGAAGAGGACGAUUGGAAGAUCGUUCAUCCCUUAUGGCAGAUAUUCAGAAUAUAAAGCCAACCCAUGUUUUUAAUGCUGCUGGUGUGACUGGUAGGCCCAAUGUUGAUUGGUGUGAAUCUCACAAAACAGAAACAAUUCGCACCAAUGUGGCUGGAACCUUGACCUUAGCAGAUGUUUGCAGAGAACAUGGGCUUUUGAUGAUGAAUUUUGCUACAGGGUGUAUAUUCGAGUACGAUGCAGGACAUCCUGAGGGCUCCGGCAUUGGGUAUAAAGAGGAAGACAAACCCAAUUUCACUGGUUCCUUCUAUUCAAAAACCA